GACUGACAACUCGAGACAGAUGGCUGUUGUAAAGGCUCCAGUGUGAGGCCAGAACCUCUACAUGGGUGAACACUCUCCUUGCCAGACUUCAUCUGCACUUUGCAGUGAUGCACCUUGAGAGGCUCUCUGCUGGAGGCGAUUUGAUCGCAGGUACUUGAGGUUAUGGGUGGAAGGCAGACGUGAGCCUGGCAUAACGACCUUGAGCUCCAGGUCACAUACCAUGUCCUGGCAAGAUGGCAUUAGGAGCUCAUUCCUGGAAUGAAAAAAAACGUACAACUUCAUGGAGGAAGGGAAGCAGAGAGACAAUAAUCAGAGUGAGUUUCUACAUAUUUUCUAGUCCAAAGAGACCAUUAAAUCCUAUAUGUUUGUGAAUGUUGUGAUAAAUUUCUUGCCCUGAGGACAUAAGUGGAAGUAAGAAUCAUACCCAAUUCCAGACUGGAGGGGGCUACUACCCAGCUUAUGAAAGACGCUCUUCUAUAAGGCUCAUCUUUGUAACUGGAACACAGAAAACUGGGCUAAGCUUUUCUUAUUGUAGGUUUUCUAAUAUGUUGG
ensembl:lncRNA